rnacentral:misc_RNA from 1 species
UGCAAACCUAUCUUCCCACCUUCUGUAACAAGCUUAGCAGCAGUUACCAACCAAUGUCCAGGAGUGUCGUAUGGCCCUCGUGCAAUCUCAGCCGUAUCUACAUACUUGAGCAGCUUUGUUGAUCGAACUGGUACUGGAGGUCCGUCUGGAUAUACGCCCGAGUUAAGAGCAGCAGGAAGCUGCUUUGGUGCAGCAUCUGUCUUUGUCCGCUGAGUGAAAGUAAAAGUUGUGCUGAGAUUUGUUAAGAAACUUGACCUAUGAGUACCCUCUGGUGUAGCUGCCCACUCUGUCUUUCGUAUUGUGCAGUUAGGAAGAUAGGUGAAAAGUAGACGCAGGUGAAGCACUGUCUUAGGCCACUUCCCUUUG